rnacentral:rRNA from 1 species
UACAGAGGUCUCAACCGUUGUUCGGAAUUACUGGGCGUAAAGGGCGCGUAGGCGGCCUGCUAAGUCGAACGUGAAAUCCCUGGGCUCAACCCAGGAACUGCGUCCGAUACUGGUUGGCUUGAAUCCGGGAGAGGGACGUGGAAUUCCAGGUGUAGCGGUGAAAUGCGUAGAUAUCUGGAGGAACACCGGUGGCGAAGGCGACGUCCUGGACCGGUAUUGACGCUGAGGCGCGAAAGCCAGGGGAGCAAACGGG